GGGUGCAUGGUCUAGAGGUAUGAUUCCUGCUUUGGGUGCAGGAGGUCCCCGGUUCAAUCCCGGGUGCACCCC
rnacentral:tRNA from 1 species